AUAGGAUGCAUCUUUAUGUUAGGAGAGGAGGUCCCAACUACCAGAGGGGACUCGCAAAAAUGAGGGCACUUGCAGAGGAAAUUGGCCUCCCUAUUUAGGUCUAUGGUCCUGAAGCAACAAUGACUGGUAUUUGCAAGCAGGCAAUCUAGUGCAUCACUGCUACUGCAUGACAACGUUAUAUGAAGAUGGCUGCUUUCUUCUUGUCUAUGUCACCUUUUCUUCUGUGGCAAGUUUCAAUAUCUCCAUACCUUGUACUAAUUUCUAUUGUUAAGCUCUUUGUACUAAUUUCAUUCUAUCAAAAACCUCAGCAAAGUUGAUGUA